rnacentral:rRNA from 1 species
GAAACCAACAGGGAUUGCCUUAGUAACGGCGAGUGAAGCGGCAAAAGCUCAAAUUUGAAAUCUGGCACCUUCGGUGUCCGAGUUGUAAUUUGAAGAAGGUAACUUUGGAGUUGGCUCUUGUCUAUGUUCCUUGGAACAGGACGUCACAGAGGGUGAGAAUCCCGUGCGAUGAGAUGCCCAAUUCUAUGUAAAGUGCUUUCGAAGAGUCGAGUUGUUUGGGAAUGCAGCUCUAAGUGGGUGGUAAAUUCCAUCUAAAGCUAAAUAUUGGCGAGAGACCGAUAGCGAACAAGUACAGUGAUGGAAAGAUGAAAAGAACUUUGAAAAGAGAGUGAAAAAGUACGUGAAAUUGUUGAAAGGGAAGGGCUUGAGAUCAGACUUGGUAUUUUGCGAUCCUUUCCUUCUUGGUUGGGUUCCUCGCAGCUUACUGGGCCAGCAUCGGUUUGGAUGGUAGGAUAAUGACUAAGGAAUGUGGCUCUACUUCGGUGGAGUGUUAUAGCCUUGGUUGAUACUGCCUGUCUAGACCGAGGACUGCGUCUUUUGACUAGGAUGUUGGCAUAAUGAUCUUAAGCCA